rnacentral:rRNA from 1 species
CAGCCUGAAGGCGCCCGAUCUCGUCUGAUCUCGGAAGCUAAGCAGGGUCGGGCCUGGUUAGGAUCUUGGAUGGGAGACCACCUGGGAAUCCCGGGU